UUCCGAUGGUGAACCUGCGGAGGGAUCAUUACCGAGUUUACAACUCCCAAACCCAAUGUGAACGUUACCAAACUGUUGCCUCGGCGGGGUCACGCCCCGGGUGCGUCGCAGCCCCGGAACCAGGCGCCCGCCGGAGGAACCAACCAAACUCUUUCUGUAGUCCCCUCGCGGACGUAUUUCUUACAGCUCUGAGCAAAAAUUCAAAAUGAAUCAAAACUUUCAACAACGGAUCUCUUGGUUCUGGCAUCGAUGAAGAACGCAGCGAAAUGCGAUAAGUAAUGUGAAUUGCAGAAUUCAGUGAAUCAUCGAAUCUUUGAACGCACAUUGCGCCCGCCAGUAUUCUGGCGGGCAUGCCUGUCCGAGCGUCAUUUCAACCCUCGAACCCCUCCGGGGGAUCGGCGUUGGGGAUCGGGACCCCUCACACGGGUGCCGGCCCCGAAAUACAGUGGCGGUCUCGCCGCAGCCUCUCCUGCGCAGUAGUUUGCACAACUCGCACCGGGAGCGCGGCGCGUCCACGUCCGUAAAACACCCAACUUUCUGAAAUGUUGACCUCGGAUCAGGUAGGAAUACCCGCUGAACUUAAGCAUAUCAAUAAGCGGAGGA
rnacentral:rRNA from 1 species